rnacentral:piRNA from 1 species
UGCGCACCUUGUUUUCUCCAAAGACG